ACAAUGGAGAGUUUGAUCUUGGCUCAGGAUGAACGCUAGCGGCAGGCCUAAUACAUGCAAGUCGAACGGUUGUUAGCAAUAACAAUAGUGGCGCACGGGUGCGUAACGCGUAGCCAACCUACCCGAAUCUGGGGGAUAGCCCGCCGAAAGGCGGAUUAAUACCGCAUAAAACUGCAGUCC
rfam:Hymenobacter sp. CCM 8648 NODE_43_length_24521_cov_475.05_ID_85, whole genome shotgun sequence.